UGUCUUCAGGCCUUUCAAAUCUCUUUCUUCUUCUUUUUCUCUUUCUUGUUUUAAUAUCAAGGUUUUCAGAUACUUCAUCAAUCAAGACAUAUAAAAUGGAUUAAAUAUGCUGCCUGGAACUGAAGUCAAUACUCCACAUAGGUCCUGAUCAUGAAAACUGUAAUAUGGCAAAUAUACUCCAUACCCAAAUAAAGAGGGCUGAUCAUGACAAAGCACAACACCAUAAUGGCAGCUACAAUGAAAUAUAUUGGUUUCUAUAAACAAGAUGAAGUACCUGACGUGAUAUCCUCUGCUGCUGAAUAUGUUGAAUUGUUUUCCACGUUGUCUCUCUCUUAAAUUCGGAGGUUGUUGCCAGCUCUGACACACAGGGUUGGGGCUUGUCGACUGAGGAUUCCUUUCAGCAAGCAGAUGAAGGCAUGACUAUUAGCUUCAAUGUUUCUGAGGUUGGCCAAAACUGUGCAGCCAUGUGUCUAAUGCAAAAUUUUCGAAGAAAAAUAUCAGCCUUAAUAAUAGUUAAAGAAUAGAAAUUAAAUACUUUCCUUGGAAGAUUAAAAUCAUCACAGCAGAGAUGCAGAUUCCUCCGUCUUUUGAGGGCCUGGUGUUUGCAAAAAUACUUUUCCGAUGAUUUUUUUUUUCUCACGGACAUUAAUAUCACAAAUUCAAAUGUAAAACAGAAAGAAAAACAUGAAGCAAAAGUUCCCAAGCUAUCCUACGAGUGCAAUCAAUUCACUCAUGAAAUUGUACUAAUUCUGGGGAAGACUGGGCUGUGUGCUCGCAGGUGUGAGA